rnacentral:lncRNA from 1 species
AACUGAAGAAAGAGGCUGAAUUCUUGGAGGUUUCAUUCAGAGCAAAAGCAGAAUCUUUAGAGCAAGUAAUGUACAUCUUAACUCAGUGACCUGCAUGAUUAUUUUACAUUACCUUUUUUCUUGAUUUCAUCUCUCUCUCUCUCUCUCUUCAAAGUGAAAAUGUAUAGAUAACGUAAGAACUUACCAUUAGAUAUCUCUGUCCAAAUUUGGGCGUUUCUGAUUUCUACCAAAAAUUUUA